ensembl:lncRNA
CUCUCUUACAAGAAAUGGGAAGAGGAGUAGUGACGUGUUGGGUUUUCGUCUAUGGUAAGCGCUGGCAUUAAAAGCACUAAUGGUGUAUGUGUGUGUUAAAACCAUGUGGGACUCGCGGUUUAGGUAGGUUGGAAUGACUAUUAACUAGAUCGAUUGGAACUUCAGCUUCACGUAGAUUUUUUUUAAAUUUUCUAUCCAUGCUCUAGAUUGCUAGUAGUACCGUAUUAUCUAAAUGCUAACAGAUUGAGGGUCUUGAAAUUAAAAUCACAGUAGCUUGUUCACAUUAUUUGAUCGUCUAUUUUGCGCUACUUUCAAUGUACUGCUUGGUAGAGGCUUGUCUGCGAUGUUCGUUAACAGGCCUGUUAGUGACACGUGCAAGGCCGCUAUGACACGAGGUACUUUUAAAAAACACCUCGGCCUGGUUAGCAAAUUUGGCUAACCGGUAUACAACAAGUUUAAUGCAAUUUAACUCAUGCUUACUUUCCUCCAUAGAUUUUGCAACCAUGUUUGUCGACCAGACAUGGGAGGACUGCAAGCGGGGGGAAAUCCCUUUCGAUGUAAGUCUAAAGUACCAAGUUUGAUUUGAAUGACUACAGUUUAUUUUGUUUUUCAUUUUAUUUUUUAUAAACCCAGCGGUAGUCAGCUGUACAGGCCCGCCCGUGCCUGAGCUAGUGUUACACUGCUGGGAGAGGAACGCUCUGCUCAUGUGGCCUGGUCCAGCAGACACUGUUUUAGUGGCUGUUGAUACUUCGCUUUAGCAGAGCUUUGCCCUUCUGAGAGUUGGCUGUGUUCACACUGUGUUCACCGCCAUAGUCUAAGGACAUACAGAUUUAAUUAAAAUGCCUUUUCUUAUGUAUUUACUUGUAACUAGUUGUUGACCUAAAUCCCAUUCAUUUCAGGAAGGCCUGCUGAUAAAGUGAAUGACGGCGUCUAAAGGUAAUGUUUCUUUCUUUUGUGGGGAAUAUGUUCAGUGCCAUGAUGAUUAUUUAACACAUCAUUCUUAUUGUAUGGUGAAGAACAUUCAGAAAACACUGAGCACCCCUUCCUGUUAUUACAUCUUAAUGUAUUUUCAUACUGUAAUGUCUAAACCCAUCCAUGUUAUUUCAGGACACAUCCUCUAAUUGGCCAAAUAAGAAUUUGCUGUUAUGUUGAAGGUGUAAUGGAGGCUGUGAGGCCGCUACCAUUUGGUUGAAAUUGAAAGAUCAAAGGAAUCAUGCUUAUUACAUGAUGCUGUGAUACCAUCUUUGAAGAAAUGAAGACCAUGUAUCAGGGUGUUGAGUCUCUGGUUUUUAUGCCCUAAGUUGACAGGUAAUGCACACCUUACAUCUAAAGUGCUUCAUGCUGAUCGGGCUGUGCACUGAUGAGAGCUUGAUAGCUUUAACCCAGCUUUCUUACUGUUGGUGAAGACUUUCAAAAUCUGAGCACAGCUUGUAGUGACUUAUUGUCAAGUAUGUCCAUACUACACUAACUGAUGUUUAAUGUUUGCUUUUCAGAAAAAUCCUGACUCCUCUAAUUAAAGGAAUUUACAUGGAAUGGUGAUACUUGGUCUCUUGCUGCAGUGGAUGUCAAAGCAAGGAGGUCAUGCUGAUCUUCUGGUAUGCUGCUGGACUAUCGGUGCAUGAUGCUGCUUUACCCGGUUCUGAUGUCUGGAAUUUAUUGAAAGGAAUGUUCUCUAGAUUCCAUCCUGCUGGAAAUGCUCUCUACUAAGAUGCGCUACUGCUCAUCACACCCCAGCUGGGUUCUUGUCCCUUAAUGCCAUGUAUUCCAGAAGACUCAAGGAAAAGAUUGAAUAAUAUGGAUCCUGGCAUGUCAGUGUUUGAGUUGAUUUGCUGCAUUAUUGGGCUCUGUGCCCUUGAAUUAAAUGUAAAGUGAAAUAAAUGUUUAUUCAAAGUGC